rnacentral:misc_RNA from 1 species
UCUCCGUUGGUGAACCAGCGGAGGGAUCAUUAUCGAGUUAUUCAACUCCCAAACCCUAUGUGAACUUACCACUUGUUGCUUCGGCGCGCGCUUCGGCGCCGCCGAGGACACUUAAACUCUUUGUUUUUAUAAGCAUCUCUGAGUGGCCGAAAGGCAAAAUACAAAUGAAUCAAAACUUUCAACAACGGAUCUCUUGGUUCUG